AUGGCCAUCACCGGGGCGCCGGCCAUGGACGCGCCCUUCUUCCGCGGCCUCGGCCUGUCGGACAAGAUCUGGAACAACGGGCCCAUCAGCCUGCAAAUCCAGUGGUUCCAACAGAUCACGGCCACCGUGUGCGGCGGCGGCGCCGCCUGCAAGCGGUACCUGCGGGACUCGCUAGUGGUGUUCGGCGAGUUCGGUGGGAACGACUACAACGCGAUGUUGUUCGGCAACUACAGCGCGGACCAGUCUAGCAGGUACACGACCAAGAUCGUCAACACCAUCAUCAGGGGCGUGGAGAAGGUGGUGGGCAUGGGGGCCAGGGACGUGGUGGUGCCCGGGGUGCUCCCCAUCGGCUGCUUCCCCAUCUACCUCACCGUCUAUGGCACCAACAACAGCGCCAACUACAACGCCCUCGGCUGCCUCCGAAAGUGCAACGACCUCUCCACCUUCCACAACAACCUGCUCCAGGCCGAGAUCGCCCGCCUCCGGAAGCGCUACGGCCGGGCGGCGCGCAUCAUGUACGCCGACUUCUACUCCGCCGUCUACGACAUGGUCCAGAACCCCAAGAAAUACGGUUUCAACGCGGUUUUCGAGGCGUGCUGCGGCUCCGGGGGAGGCAAGUACAACUACGCCAACAGCGCGAGGUGCGGGAUGCAGGGCGCGACGGCGUGCGCCAACCCGGCCGACCACCUCAGCUGGGACGGCAUCCACCUCACCGAGGCUGCCUACAAGCAGAUCACCGACGGCUGGCUCAACGGGCCCUACUGCAGCCCGCCCAUCCUCCACACUUAA
rnacentral:rRNA from 1 species